CAAGCCCUGGAAACGGGGUCUAAUACCGGAUAACACCUUCCCUGGCAUGAGGGAUGGUUAAAAGCUCCGGCGGUGAAGGAUGAGCCCGCGGCCUAUCAGCUUGUUGGUGGGGUAAUGGCCUACCAAGGCGACGACGGGUAGCCGGCCUGAGAGGGCGACCGGCCACACUGGGACUGAGACACGGCCCAGACUCCUACGGGAGGCAGCAGUGGGGAAUAUUGCACAAUGGGCGAAAGCCUGAUGCAGCGACGCCGCGUGAGGGAUGACGGCCUUCGGGUUGUAAACCUCUUUCAGCAGGGAAGAAGCGAAAGUGACGGUACCUGCAGAAGAAGCGCCGGCUAACUACGUGCCAGCAGCCGCGGUAAUACGUAGGGCGCAAGCGUUGUCCGGAAUUAUUGGGCGUAAAGAGCUCGUAGGCGGCUUGUCACGUCGGAUGUGAAAGCCCGGGGCUUAACCCCGGGUCUGCAUUCGAUACGGGCAGGCUAGAGUGUGGUAGGGGAGAUCGGAAUUCCUGGUGUAGCGGUGAAAUGCGCAGAUAUCAGGAGGAACACCGGUGGCGAAGGCGGAUCUCUGGGCCAUUACUGACGCUGAGGAGCGAAAGCGUGGGGAGCGAACAGGAUUAGAUACCCUGGUAGUCCACGCCGUAAACGUUGGGAACUAGGUGUUGGCGACAUUCCACGUCGUCGGUGCCGCAGCUAACGCAUUAAGUUCCCCGCCUGGG
rnacentral:rRNA from 1 species